AUGGCUGCGGCGGCGGCAGAGCGGACGCCGGUGUUCAUGAAGGUGGGAGAUCUCAGGCCCGGGACGUCGACCGGCCACACGCUUCUCGUUAAGGUGCUAAGCUCCAAGAUCAAGACCGAGACCAAGACCGUGGUGACCCGCUUUGGCCCGGCGGCGAGGCCCACGAGGAUCGCCGAGUGCCUCGUCGGUGAUGAGACGGGAUGCAUCCUCUUUACCGCCCGCAACAACCAGGUUGACAUGCUGAAGCCCGGCAACACCGUUAUUCUUUGGGAUGCAAAGCUUGGCAUGCCCAAGGGGAUAAUGAAGCUAGCUGUUGACAAACGGGGGCUUGUUGAUGUCACUGAACCGGCAAGCUUCGAUGUGAAGGAGGACAACAAUUUCUCACUUGUGGAGUACGAGUAUGUACAGGUCUAG
rnacentral:rRNA from 1 species